CCGAAUUCUUGGAGUGGUUUUCUCCAACGAUUAAUCUAUUGAUUAUAAUAUUAAAACUGAAGCAGAUUUCAUAAUCAAUUGACAUGCAGAAGUUAGGGAAAAGCCGCUCGCGCCACCGUUUAAAAAAUAUAGAAACAAUGCAAAAUAAACGGAGCAAAAAGAAAUUGAAUCCUGCACAAAUUCCCAAGGACUUACAGCAUGCAAGGCUAACUCUCGGAAUCCGGAGAACUCAUACAGCUUCGGGAAGUGCCACGGAAGUGAAAUGACUUACGAUUUUAGUGAAUUAGCUUGCGGUAGCCGUCUGUGUGAAAGUGUUUUUUUGUACGAAUGGAAUGUUAAAAUAAAUAUUUUCUAAACGAUUUAUA